GAAGGUCUUCGGAUCGUAAAACUCUGUUAUUAGGGAAGAACAAACGUGUAAGUAACUGUGCACGUCUUGACGGUACCUAAUCAGAAAGCCACGGCUAACUACGUGCCAGCAACCGCGGUAAUACGUAGGUGGCAAGCGUUAUCCGGAAUUAUUGGGCGUAAAGCGCGCGUAGGCGGUUUUUUAAGUCUGAUGUGAAAGCCCACGGCUCAACCGUGGAGGGUCAUUGGAAACUGGAAAACUUGAGUGCAGAAGAGGAAAGUGGAAUUCCAUGUGUAGCGGUGAAAUGCGCAGAGAUAUGGAGGAACACCAGUGGCGAAGGCGACUUUCUGGUCUGUAACUGACGCUGAUGUGCGAAAGCGUGGGGAUCAAACAGGAUUAGAUACCCUGGUAGUCCACGCCGUAAACGAUGAGUGGUAAGUGUUAGGGGGUUUCCGCCCCUUAGU
rnacentral:rRNA from 1 species